CGCGAGGUGGAGCGAAUCUCCAAAAAUUGUCCCAGUUCAGAUUGCAGGCUGCAACUCGCCUGCAUGAAGUCGGAAUUGCUAGUAAUCGUGGAUCAGCAUGCCACGGUGAAUACGUUCCCGGGCCUUGUACACACCGCCCGUCAAACCAUGAGAGUUGGCAACACCCGAAGUCGGUAGUCUAACCGCAAGGAGGACGCCGCCGAAGGUGGGGUCGAUGAUUAGGGUUAAGUCGUAACAAGGUAUC
rnacentral:rRNA from 1 species